GACGAACGCUGGCGGCGUGCUUAACACAUGCAAGUCGAACGGAAAGGCCCUUCUUUUGUUGGGUGCUCGAGUGGCGAACGGGUGAGUAACACGUGAGUAACCUGCCCUUUACUUUGGUAUAACUUCAGGAAACUGGGGCUAAUACCGGAUAGGAGCUCCUGCUUCAUUGUGGGGGUUGGAAAGUUUCGGCGGUUGGGGAUGUACUCGCGGCUUUUCAGCUUGUUGGUGGGGUAGUGGCUUACCAAGGCUUUGACGGGUAGCCGGCCUGAGAGGGUGACCGGCAACAUUGGGACUGAGAUACGGGCCAGAAGCCGACGGGAGGCAGCAGUGGGGAAUAGUGCAAAAUGGGCGGAAGCCUGAAGCAGCAAAGACGCGUGAGGGAUGAAGGCCUUCGGGUUGUAAACCGCGUUCGCCUGUGACGAAGCGUGAGUGACGGUAAUGGGUAAAGAAGCACCGGCUAACUACGUG
rnacentral:rRNA from 1 species